rnacentral:rRNA from 1 species
GACGAACGCUGGCGGCGUGCUUAACACAUGCAAGUCGAACGGAAAGGCCCUGCUUUUGUGGGGUGCUCGAGUGGCGAACGGGUGAGUAACACGUGAGUAACCUGCCCUUUACUUUGGGAUAACUUCAGGAAACUGGGGCUAAUACCGGAUAGGAGCUCCUGCUGCAUGGUGGGGGUUGGAAAGUUUCGGCGGUUGGGGAUGGACUCGCGGCUUAUCAGCUUGUUGGUGGGGUAGUGGCUUACCAAGGCUUUGACGGGUAGCCGGCCUGAGAGGGUGACCGGCCACAUUGGGACUGAGAUACGGCCCAGACUCCUACGGGAGGCAGCAGUGGGGAAUAUUGCACAAUGGGCGGAAGCCUGAUGCAGCAGCGCCGCGUGCGGGAUGACGGCCUUCGGGUUGUAAACCGCUUUCGCCUGUGACGAAGCGUGAGUGACGGUAAUGGGUAAAGAAGCACCGGCUAACUACGUG